rnacentral:misc_RNA from 1 species
GCUGCAAAGAGAAACCAAGGGAAAACAAGUGUAAAAGAAGUAGCACUCAUUGAUCUUUUCAUGACCAUUUACUAGUAAAGCUAAACUAUGGAGGAAUAAACCAAACAAUCUCACAAUGGAGUACCAUUUAUAGUAUCUUUCAUGUUGAUCCUCACAAACACGUUGAGAUGUAAAUAGGAAGUUCCGGUUGAUUUAUUAAUUUUGUAGAUAUUGAUAGGAAGUAAAUUGGACAACAAUUUAAACCAACAAAUUCUUCCUACUUGUGUGAACCUAUGAAGAACAACAACUGAGUAUAUAUGCAGGAAAUAAUCACAAUAAUAGGCUGCUCAAAAGAUGCACAAAUCAAUCACAGAAGAACAAGGCAAUUUCAAAGUGAAGGAUAAAACCACCACACCUCUCUUGGUCCAAUUGAAACAGCUUCACGAAAAAGUUUUAUAGCAAUUACAAACACCAUAAACAAUUUUCAACCAAAAAUCUCAAGACAAUUCAAAUAAAUUAAUAAGAGAUAGCUAAGUUUUGGAGAGAUUCACCAAAAUACAUAGCUGCUGCCUAUCCAAAUUGACCUUCUAGUCGUCAAAACCCGAUCUCCACCAUCCAAAUUAAAAAACAAUAUGUCUCCACUGUGCCCACCAAAAAAUUCAGCUCAAUCAGACCACAAUGACUUUCCGAUUGCUGUAAAUGAUGAAACUGGUCCGUUCAGAGAUUCAAUAAAAACAGCAGCUGUUUACGUAACCAAAAACAGUAGAAUCAGAGCUCGAAACAAGAUCCCUACCGUUCACAAUGAAGAACCAGAUGUGAAGAUGCUGCAGACCAAAUUUGAGCUUGAUCCAACGGUAAACAAGCUCAGAAAUCUCAGAAAUGUGAACUGUCCUCCUUGAAAAAUCUGCAGAAUGCUCUGUUUCCCUUGUUUUUCUCACUUCUCUUCUCUGGUGUUUGGGCACUCAAAAUGAGAUUUUGUGGCUGUGUGAAUUAGUGCAACAGAAAGCAAACAUAUAUAUGUAGCCCUAAUGGGCCAAAAUAAUUGUGGAAUUCAACAAAAUGGACUCUCUCCACAUAGGAGGGACCCAAGCGCAACAGAAAUUACAUGAUUUAACUCGAGGGAAUCACAAGUGUCUGUGCUUUAUUUAUGCAAGUAUUUCUGAUUGUCGCUGCUGUCGGAAUCUGUUUUGUAUUUAUCUUUGAAGGAUGAAAGCUAUACUGCUCGUGUAGGAAUAUAUUCAUAAUGAUGAUCACCUUCAAAUUUGAGUCACGCACAGAAUUCUUGUGGUGGUCUUAGGCUCCAGAUGGGAAGCUAAAACGCUGGUUUAAAACUCUUUUUUUGGAAAAGUAUUAUUUUAGGCGCUGUUAAAAGAAGUAGUUUAUUGUUUUGGAGUUUUUAGGAUUAAAAUUAAAAUUUAGAGGUACUUAAUAAAUAUUUUUGGGAUAAUGUUUUUCCCAACAAAUACAAUGCCAAGCAAACCUUGUGAUGCCUGGAUAAUUGAGGCUUUAGUAUUCUUUUGAGUUUAAGGUCUUUAUUUUUCCUAAUCCCCACUUUUAUUUGUACGCGCUCUUAGGGAGCUGUCCCUUCGAAAUAAGUGAUAGGCAAGAGAAGCUCUUUAAAUGCAUUUUCUGUCCAUGUAAACCAAUUUGUUACACUGAUAAAACAGAAAUGAGUUUUUCUCAAUUUUCUAAUUUCAGCUAUACAUGAUAAGGGGAAAGAAAAAAAAUUUUGAGACUGGUUCUCAACUCCUUGCAAUAUUUAUUCAUAUUUUGCAUGGUCAAGAAGAAUCACUGUUUUCUCAUGCAUAGGUUCCAUUUCCAAAUCUCAUGCA